rnacentral:rRNA from 1 species
GAUGAACGCUGGCGGCGUGCCUAAUACAUGCAAGUCGAGCGAACGGACGAGAAGCUUGCUUUUCUGAUGUUAGCGGCGGACGGGUGAGUAACACGUGGAUAACCUACCUAUAAGACUGGGAUAACUUCGGGAAACCGGAGGUAAUACCGGAUAAUAUUUUGAACCGCAUGGUUCAAAAGUGAAAGACGGUCUUGCUGUCACUUAUAGAUGGAUCCGCGCUGCAUUAGCUAGUUGGUAAGGUAACGGCUUACCAAGGCAACGAUGCAUAGCCGACCUGAGAGGGUGAUCGGCCACACUGGAACUGAGACACGGUCCAGACUCCUACGGGAGGCAGCAGUAGGGAAUCUUCCGCAAUGGGCGAAAGCCUGACGGAGCAACGCCGCGUGAGUGAUGAAGGUCUUCGGAUCGUAAAACUCUGUUAUUAGGGAAGAACAUAUGUGUAAGUAACUGUGCACAUCUUGACGGUACCUAAUCAGAAAGCCACGGCUAACUACGUG